GGCCUUGUAACUCAGUUGGUUAGAGUAACUGACUCAUAAUCAGUAGCCCGAAGCCA
rnacentral:tRNA from 1 species